rnacentral:rRNA from 1 species
UGACUUUGAUGCUGGCUCAGAUUGAACGCUCGCGGCGUGCCUAACACAUGCAAGUCGUGCGUGAAAGGGCUUCGGCCUGAGUAAAGCGGCGCACGGGUGAGUAACGCGUGGAUGAUCUGCCCAUGAGUUGGGAAUAACGGCUGGAAACGGUCGCUAAUACCGAAUACGCUCCGAUUUCACAGUUCGGGGGAAAGGUGGCCUCUGCUUGCAAGCUACCGCUCAUGGAUGAGUCCGCGUCCCAUUAGCUAGUUGGCGGGGUAAUGGCCCACCAAGGCGACGAAGGGUAGCCGACCUGAGAGGAUGAUCGGCCACACUGGGACUGGAACACGGCCCAGACUCCUACGGGAGGCAGCAGUGGGGAAUAUUGCGCUAUGGGCGAAAGCCUGACGCAGCGACGCCGCGUGAGGGAUGAAGGCCUUCGGGUCGUAAACCUCUGUCAGGAGGGAAGAACCGCCAUGGUGCUAAUCAGCCAUGGUCUGACGGUACCUCCAAAGGAAGCACCGGCUAACUCCGUGCCAGCAGCCGCGGUAAUACGGAGGGAGCAAGCGUUUUUCGGAAUG